rnacentral:pre_miRNA from 2 species
UAUUAUGAAUGAGCAAAGAAAGUGGUUUCUUGGGAUGGAAUCUACUCCUGAUGAAGAUGCCAUGAA